rnacentral:tRNA from 1 species
GGCCCUAUGGUCAAGCGGUCAAGACACCGCCCUUUCACGGCAGUAACCUGGGUUCGAUUCCCAGUAGGGUCACCA